UGAUAAAUACAUCAGACUUCAAUUUUCC
rnacentral:piRNA from 1 species